GCUAGGUAACUAAGCUCGCGCCGUGUCGCCUGUACUGUUUGACCCAGCUUGAUCUUCAAAUUCUUGGAAAGAAAAGGGGAGGACAUUGAUCCAUUACAUACUCAGUGUGGAUUUAAAUAAUUGCAUUGUUUCUUUAUCGUCGGGGUUAGGAACCAAACAAGUUUCAAUUUCAAUUUGAAGUUGAAAGUACUUAUUUGGUUAACGUCCGCUCUGAUUUGCCAGCUACACUGCAUUGAUAUGUGUGCUCUUUUAUUCCAAACCACAACGCGUGCUAUCUCUACGUGGACUUGCAAGCACCUGUGAUAUACACAACCCACAAACAANGUAAAUCAAUGAAGACCAAGUAUAUUUUCGUUUUGCUGUUUUCCAUAUUUGCUUCACCAUGUCAGAUGAAAGAAGGCUAUCCCAUUAAGCUGAUCAGAUCGACUCUUAAAUACGCUGGCCAAGUUCAGAUCAAACUUAAUGGAAGUCAGUGGUCGAUUUGUGAAGUCGGCUGGGACAAAAAGGAUGCUCAAGUUGUUUGUCGACAGCUGGGCUUCCUAGCAGCUGAAGCAGCCAUCUUGGGAGAGGCAUUUGGACAUGCUCCAGGUCAGGUUCUUGCUAAGGAGUUCCAAUGCGACGGAAACGAACGAUCUCUGUCGGACUGUCCUUCGGCGUCACAUGACAGCAAGGAGAUGAGAUGUGGCACGAACAGAGUUGCAGCAGUCUUGUGUAAACCUANUGACUUGCCUUCAUUUUUUAUAAUGACCAUGGUUGGCGUUCUCGCCCUUACGUCAACCAUUAUUCUCACAGUCACGUGCAAAACCAUGCGCGUUCGGAAAAAGCGUUGCCCAACAACAGACAGCGAAAUAGUACUUUCAAAUAAGAACAUCGAGGGAGAUAUUGAAGCAGGUUCAACUACUGAGGUCGAAAGAGGAUCAAACGAGAUUGGAAAUGCAAUUUCAAAGAAUAGUUUUAGUGAUGUUGAAGAAAACGUACCUUGUCCGGUGGAAGUUGUUGAAAUCGAUGACGACAAAAAGGAGACAAAACUAUCUAUCAGUGACGCUGAAAUAAUUGAAUCUUUAAGUAGCACAGAGGUCCAUAAUCGUGACAACGGUGAAAAAGUUGCAAAGGGUAAAGAAAGUAGAAAGGGGGGAUAUAUGCCGUUAUUGAAAGGUUCCAAGGCCCUUUUUAAUUUUUAUGAAAAAUUAUUGAAGCGAAACAGAAACCGCCAGUCAGCAACAGAAGUAGAUUACGCACAAGAUUAUUAUUCAUGUGAUCAGUAUAGCAAAAAUUGGCAAGACGGAAACACUCACGAUAUCGUUCGUGACGUAGACAGCAGUUCAACUGGAGAAUACCCUGAGGCUUGGCCGGAGAAAGACCAAAAAAAAGUCGACAAAGAUGGUGAUGAGUACGUUCCGAUGCUUUCCUUGAGUGUGAUGCCCUCUCAGGAAAUGGCAGUUAAGGACGAAAUGCCACAAGAUGAGUAUUUAGAUAUCUUACCACCGAUGGAACUCCGUAAAGAUAAAAACUCCCCAGGUUCUAGUAAGCGGGAAUCUGAUUAUCUUGAAGCUGUUGAAAUAAAUUUACCAGCUUUUCCCGAAAAGUAUGAUGGUAUGGCUUCGUGCUCUUACGAUGAGGAACUGCCAAAUCCACCCAGGGAUUUGUUAACGCUUACGAAUAAUGAUCAAAGCGACAAAGGAAAUGGAAGCCGCUUUAACGCAUUGGGGUUAAGCAAUAAAGNAUGUAGAUGUGAAAAGGAUCUUAUGUGUAAGAAGUGCUUGGACACUCAUUCCAUUGAAAAACACAAAGAAUUCGACCAGGAUCCAAUGUCAAGGGUAAAUGUAAGUACCAGAAAAGAUGAUAGUGAUCAAGAUUUCCAGUAUGUGCCAAUGGAUCACUAUGGCAUUGAGAAAGAAGGCUCAGAGGUUGAAGAAAAAGUCAGAAGAAACAGCGCAAAUUAUGCAAUUCCUAUGAAAAAGCCCACAAAAGAUAAAAGAUAUCAGGGCAGUUUUCCAGUGGAACUCAAUCAGAAAAUUAUGGAUAAGACUUUGUCUCGACCUUCCGAUAAACGAUUAAUGCCAAAUAAAAAAGAUGUUUAUGAUGCUACAGUGAAAAGCGAAGGAAGAGAAGAAGCAAUGCAAGGAAAAGGCUAUAAAGGGUUAACAAACCCUAAAAAUGAACAAAAAUCCUUAGGAAACGAACAAAUGCCAAAGGAAAAAAGUGGCCAUCGUGAAAAAAGCAAACCUAACCUUAGUACAAUACCUUCCUUUUCGAAAUCUAAGAAUUACUUUGAAACUAANGAUGUAGGUCUACUACAGAAAACCAAAACUGAAGCGUUUUCCAAAAAAUUGUUUAAAUCUGAAGAAANUGAAUCAGCUGAGAGUCCAAAAAGUAAUGAUGUUGGAAAAGCGAGAUCUGAGAGCUGUCCUGUCGAGAGAACAAGUGUUAAAACAAGCACUUCUUUUCNCGAGGCUUUAGAAAAGGCUUUGAAAGCAAGCGGAUCAAAAGACGGUAGUGAAGAAAAUUCAAAGCAAAAACAAGAGGAUAUCAAAGAAAAUGAAUAUGAACUCGACUAUGAAAACAUACCGUCGCCAAGCGCCGAGUCUGAAUAUGAAAAUAACGACAUAUACUAUGAGUCAAGGCCUAGUUCAGAUGAGUAUGAUUAUGUCCACGAAAAGCAACGUAAGUCUUUGCAUUUUUAUGAAGCUGUUUUAAAACANUUGGACGAAUUCGAAGAGGAUGAAUAUGAACGCAUUUGAAGGACUUGAUCUAAAUGAUAACAAUAAAAUUUUUUAAAUCGACAAAAAUGAGAAAAGAUUUAAAGAAGAGGAUCUUUAGGAGCAAGAGGGAACAUAAGGUUUAACUCAGUCGGCAAAGGUAGGAACGUGCUACUUCGGUAAAAAAUGAGAAAAGAUUNAAAGAAGAGGAUCAAAGUUUAACUCAGUCACAAAGAUAGGAGCGAUAGCACGGUGCUACAUUAUGCACUGGCAACCCGUCUAGGAUGUACAGAAUAUGGGUGAUAUGUUCUUGCUUCGAUCGAGUGAAAAUUACGAGCUUUAAAGCAGAAUUUUGAACAUGCUGUAACUUUUGCAAGGAUGAUUUAAAACCAUAUAAUAAAGAAAGGCAAAAAUCAAGUGUAGAAAAAAUGAAAGCAUGAACAAGGGUUUCACAUGCACCACAACUCAGGUACNUCCAAAUUUCCCAUAGAUUAUAAAUAUGGAAGAAGCACUGAUUCACGCAAAGAAAGUAUGUGGUCUUCAAGCCACAGCUUCUCAUUGAAAACGACUCAAUGUUUCGAGUACUUGUUUUCCCCCUCGGCAUCCUAUGAUUCAAGAUGGCCGCCGUGUCAGUAAAAGGUCUGUUGUAAUGGUAUUGGACAUUUUAUUUGAUUGACUGUAGUUUUUGCCUGAUUUCGUCGUCGCGGCUGCUGUCUCGAUCAGGGCGUAGCCAUGAAAACAGAAGCAUGCGGCUUGCAUUAGACCAUUUGCAUUAUAGUACAAGGUCAGAAUGUCUAAAUGAGUAAAUUAGCACCAACUAUCUUAGUACUCUUUUAUUAGGAAAUAGGCCUUUGUUGUGCACAUUCAGACCAUGUGAUGCCACUCCUGGAACUUGAUUCUUUCAUGUGUAAAUAUUUUAACAUGUUCGUCAUAAAAGAAUAAUUCUUAAGGGAAUGUCAUGUGAUCUGAAAUGGGUAAUUUGCAUGCNAAGCUAAAAAGCUCCAUAAAAACUGAAUAGAGAAAAUUCGCGAAGCAUUCUGGUAGUAAAAUGACGUCAUCAUGCAAACAGUCUUUACAAGGUUGUUACGAACUUCAUCGCAAAAUGAUUCAUUGCCAAAAAUGUUAGAAACUGCUUUUAUUUCUCUCUUAAAUCGUAAAUAUUCAAACUUAUAGCGUUAAAUGAUAUGGUCUGUACAACUUUAUGUUUUAUUAUAUUUUAAAUAAAAUCUUUUAAUUCCUGGAAAAAGAAGGGUUGAUGUAUUAGCCAUCCCGAGGCUUAGGAAAAAACUGGCCGACAAAGUUUGCUUUGCCUUAGCUUCUUUUCAACCAUGGCACUCCUCUAUUGAGCACUUUGAAAAUACAAUGACAAACACUUUGAAAAUACAAUACAAAACACUACUUUAGUUUUGUUUAGGGUUUCCCCUGAUUUCGUGUAGAAUAUUAAUGCAUUCCACUGGAGAUCUGUGCACUGAAUUUUCAAAANUGUUUGUAUUCUUGAAAUUGUACAUUCUGUACCUUAGAUGUUUGGGAAUAUUUUAACGCUGAAAAAUCGAGGCUAAAAAAUGCGUAAAUGAGUCUGUGUUUGAGGAGCAUAGCGGUAUAAAAAUACCCUUUGUCAUUUAUAUAUCCUUUCUUUAAAAAUUGUUUACAAAAUUCCACCUCGCUCCUCGUACUGCCGCACCAAAAUUAAUUAAUCCUUAAUUAAUCCUUAAUUAAUCCUUAAUUAAUCCUUAAUUAAUUCUUAAUUAAUUCUUAAUCAAUUCCUAAUUAAUUCUUUAUUAAUUCUUGAAAAAAAAAACACUAUUGUUAGGAACAUCAAUCAGUGAAGAAUGUCCAUGACCUUUUCUCACAUGAAGGCAGACAUGUUAGUUUCUGUAUAAGUAGAUUGGCAAUCAACCUUUUUAUUUCAAAAACGUUAGUAACCUGNAAGAUACGAAGCUGAGACCGGCAAGGAUUAUUGGUAAAUACAUUUUACNUGUUUAAACCGCUUGANANCUAUGAUGGACUUGAGAUGUCUUACCAGUUACAGUUUCACCUGCUGUGAGCAUCCUCAAGCUACAGUUUGGUUGAAAAGUUUUACUGAUUUGAAAUGUGACACACAUUAUUGACUUUUUUUAGGCGCUGUGUUGUGACUUUCAUAUUGAGUUUAUUAUAGGAAGUCGUGUUGUUUAUUCUAUGAAUAGUAGUUGAUCAGUACCGAUGAAAAAUGGGAAGAACUAAGUCCUUGAAAUCUGAAAGGAAAUAAAAAUCUGUUAAUUAUUAA
rnacentral:misc_RNA from 1 species